rnacentral:rRNA from 1 species
AUACGGAGGGUGCAAGCGUUAAUCGGAAUUACUGGGCGUAAAGCGUUCGUAGGCGGUUCGUUAAGUUAGAUGUGAAAGCCCCGGGCUUAACCUGGGAACUGCAUUUAAAACUGGCGGACUAGAGUUGAGUAGAGGGGAGUGGAAUUUCAGGUGUAGCGGUGAAAUGCGUAGAGAUCUGAAGGAACACCAGUGGCGAAGGCGACUCCCUGGACUCGAACUGACGCUGAGGUACGAAAGCGUGGGUAGCAAACGGGAUUAGAAACCCUUGUAGUCC